CAGAGUUGAAGCUCCUCUCCCUACCGAACAGCUCCGCGCACCGCCCCGCGACACAGCCCGGCGCAACUACUUUCUUCUCUCUCCUUUCUUUCUUCCUCUCCUUUUUCCCCUGCUGGGUAGUGGCUGCGGCGGGGUGGGGGAGACUUUGAAUGACCGAGCUCGCGUCCACCUUUCUCUUCAUGUCGACGUCCCUGGAAACGGCCACACGGAUGCCAUGGUUACUUUUGCCACGACAGGGAGUUUCAUGGUUGCCACUACCUGAGAGGUGCUGAAGUGAAUGAGGUGGAGGACGCAGAGCUAGCAGGGAAGAAGGUGCCGUGGAAACCCACACAGCUUUAUUCAUCCAAGAAGAGCCUGGGGACCAUGGCCGACUUCAGAGCCAGGGCCUGUAUUUUCUUUGGGAAAAGAAGGCAGAGUUGAUUGGCUUCCAAAACCAGGCUUGGCAAAAGCCCAUGCAGGCUCUCCAGCCAGUAAGCGCUGCCUUGGGUAGGUCUAUAUCGUAGCCGGCGUUCAUUCAGUAAAUUGACAUCGAAACUCCGCAGCGUGUCCAGCCCUGUGCUGGGCGUUGUGUGGAUGGAUGUGUGGAUGGAAAGGACACGGUCCCUGUCGUCCAAGAGGAGACACACCAACAAUAAUAGCACAAUAUGACAAUUGUUUAAAUGAAGUUCUCUGCAGAUGACAGUGACCCCUAGAGAAAGAGCAUAGACAUCCCCCUAAAUAGAAGAACUCACUGCUGUGCCUUGCCUGGGUGGAGCUAGCACUGCCUUCCUGUUUCCAUUCCCCACUCCAGAGAACUGGCCCACUGGGGGACUCCCACCCCAGACAUGGAGUGAAAAAUGAAGGUACUCGUGGCCAAAAAGUGACCAGAGAUCAGAAUGCAUCUCUUCUUGCCCCCAGCGUAUUCAGAAAUGCCACCUCUCCCUUGCCCAUGUUUGCUUUCAUCAUUUGUCUGUUCUCUGGGCUUCCAGUUCAUAAUAUUCCUUUCUUCUCCCGCAACCGGCGUAAGUGGUCUGAGAUCCAAGCACUCGGGCACUGUGGCAUCUGGGGGAAAGCCAUGUUGGGACCGUGUUGGUACAGAUUGCUGUGAGCCAGAUGUAGAGAAGGGAGCUCUCCAGACGCUGGGUCCCUCGCCCGUGUGCAUCAAGGGCAGAGAGGUGCACCAUCUCCCGUGGCCACAGGCCAUUCAGGUUCAUGUUCUCUAACAUUUCUAGUGUGCUCACUCUGUCCCUGAUACUACGCUGGGUGCUUCCAUGUGGAUUUCUUUGUUUACCCUUCACAAUAACUUUGAUGGUGCACAAGCCAUGUGACUUUUGUUGAACCUACGAACCAAAUGCCCCCGUCACUCUCUGCCAUUGUUUAGCAGUCCUUAGACAGCUCACUUCGCCACCAGUGUUCCCUUAUCUGUAUAAAUGAGGGGAUUGUCUAGGGUCCUUCCCAGCUGCAAACCUCUGUGUUUUGGGGAGUUCUGUGGCAACAUUCUUGGACUUGCUCUCUACGAAAAAAGCUAAAAGUAGAUUCUUGAAAUGGAGUCUACAGGAAGUCUUCAGGGCUUUAAGACAGGCUUCUAAAGAGUUUAGAAACACCAACCUGCAGAUGACUUACUCCCACUACUUAUUACAAAGUAUCAUGGCAAGUAAGAAAGAAAUGGUCAGCCACUGGGAGAGCAGGCUAGGGUUGCAAGGAGGUGGCAGGUGCUGCUGUUGGGAUCUUGGGGGAGCAUUGUAGAAAAGUCAGCUUUGGAACCAGGCACUGAAAAAUGGGUGAAAUUUCAACAGGAGAGGCAGUGCACGUGGGUCGUGAUUCAAGCAGCAGUGAGUAGUGAAUGGGGUUGGAGCAAGGGGCCCGUGAGCUCAAUGAUCACAUGGAAAAGGGAGGUGAGGGCCGGAGUGCAGAGAACCCCUCUCACUUUCCUGUGGGUUUCUCCUCUUCUUUAAACUGCAUUUAGGUUUUCCUCAUCUAUAAGAUGAAGGAAUAAGAUUAGAUGUCCUCUUUAUAUGGCUUGUCUACUUCUAAUAAACUUUGGUUCCCUAUUCCAGCCACCACCCAUAAAGACUCUUACUUUUUCCUCCUCAAUCCAUCAGCAUCAGCCAGCAUUCUCCCUCUCAGCUCACCCUGGUCAUUACCUCACUAAUCUGUACCUUGACUCCUAUUCUACCCGGGACCUCCCCUCACUAACCAUACUUGAUUUAUUUCCUUAAGAGCAGAUACCCUGUGUAUUCUUAGCUUACGGUGGCUGAGCUUUUGGGAGGUUUAAUAAAUUGUUUUUCAAUAGACUGUCAGUCCUAAAUGAUUUUAUUGCAGCUGUAUUGUUCUUUUUGGGGGGAGUAGGGAAGGUAAUCCUAGUUGUAUGCCAUAUUCUUUGUAUUGUUCAAGUUGCAUUUUGUUGGGCCUGUAAUAUUGAAGAUAAUGUCACUUGUAUGCAGAGUAGGAGGGAGAUUCCUUACACUGUAGAGGAACCGUUUUCCUAGGAUAGUACAAUUCCUGAGAGUCAUUUUCCUCUAAGGGUGAGCAGCAAAGCUAGAAUCCCUCUCUUGGCUUUGACCUUGAAGGGGUCAGCUGUUCCCAAGACUAGUUCCCAUGGAAAGAAGAUGGUCUCCUUAUCACAGUGACAAGAGGAGGCAGUAUGAGCAGAGUGCGUCACUGUUGCUGACCUCUAGGGACAAGCGAGCCAGCCGUAUUUCAGACAAGCUGGGAAGAGGCUCUCUGUGGGUCCUGGGAGCGAGGGAGCACUGGCGGGCUCAGACAUAGGUGUUGGUUAGCAGGACUGCUCUUCUGUUUCUUGUGUCGGCUUUGUUUAUUUCCUCCCUAUUUUCCCCCUGGACUUUCCGAAAAUACCAAAGGUGAACCAGGGGAAGAGUUUUCAUUUUCCAUGUUUAGACAGAACUUUAAAUAGGAAAUGAUGUACACCCUGGGAGGCGGUGAGGUGGUGGCGAUGGUAAUUAAGGGGUGAUUAUCUCAAGGAGGUGGAGGAAUCAGGGGCAUCACUAGCUCAGCUGCCCCUCUCCACCUGGAGCAUCUCCUUCCAGUGCUAACCCUCGGAAGAUCUGGGCUUUCUUUGCUCUAGUGAGGGAGAGACCAGCAAUGAAGGUAUCUUGAGAUCAGCACUGUAAUUCCACCAGGACUCCUCAGGAGCCCGGUGUUAACCUUCUACUAUGGCAACAGAAUGAGGGCGCCGAUGGGUUGAAAUGCCGUUUAAACAAGGAAAUAGUAGAAUUAGAAGGAGCAUAACCACUAACAGGAACAUUUUGUAGCAGAAAUGUUAAAAAUCUAAAGGAGGAAAGUGAAUCAACAAUGACUCUUCUGUUCUGGGCAAGUCCAGCCCAUUUAUGUGAGGUGGUUAUUCUGCAUCUCUGUCUCCUGCAAGUCGCGCUGUGGCAGGGCUCUGUUUUGCAGAGAGGGUCCCUGGGGAUGGAGCAGAUCGGUUGGUGAUGUGUGUCUGUCAGAAAGCUCGGCAGAGCACCCUGGAACGCAGGCCCUCUCGCACAGUGGGUAGUGACCCUACAUGUUCAUUUCCAAGGGCAGGAGAACAGACCGCUCCGGCUGCGACCUGGCCAGGAAUGACCCCACAUCUGACAUUGCAGUAUGGGGGGCCACUGAACCAGUCCUCAGCCUCAGUGUGUUCCUGGGGCUGCAGCUAGGGAGCAGUCGAACUCUUUCUUGAGACAAUUACAAGGCCACCGCUGCUGCUGCUGCUGAAGGGAAGUUACUCCAUGCUUACAAUUCUCAGGUUUGAAGUUUUCAUGCUUUGCCAGACUAGAGUGAAUCAUGCAUCUUUGCAGGCUCAAGGGAUGUUUAAAGAAGCGGUAGGACAUCAUCCACCCACAAGUCGAGGCUGCAGGAUAAAGCAGACAUCCAAUGUAAAUACAACCCGUGCAAAAAGCAGAGUCAGCAGACCUGGAGUGCAUUCUGCAGUAUUUCCUGGGGGUGGGGGAAAGAAAUUGCCUCUUCAGAAUGUCCAGAGGGGAGUUGCGUUGCUUACCUGGGGGGCGGGAUCCUCUCUCGGGCCCCACAGGGAUACUCAGCCUUAGGUAGCUGGUGCCAGAAUAACACAGACUCAGCUGCCACGGCCUGCUCUUAACACCUGUGUUUC